GACGAACGCUGGCGGCGUGCUUAACACAUGCAAGUCGAACGGAAAGGCCCUGCUUUUGUGGGGUGCUCGAGUGGCGAACGGGUGAGUAACACGUGAGUAACCUGCCCUUGACUUUGGGAUAACUUCAGGAAACUGGGACUAAUACCGGAUAGGAGCUCCUGCUGCAUGGUGGGGGCUGGAAAGUUUCGGCGGUUGGGGAUGGACUCGCGGCUUAUCAGCUUGUUGGUGGGGUAGUGGCUUACCAAGGCUUUGACGGGUAGCCGGCCUGAGAGGGUGACCGGCCACAUUGGGACUGAGAUACGGCCCAGACUCCUACGGGAGGCAGCAGUGGGGAAUAUUGCACAAUGGGCGGAAGCCUGAUGCAGCAACGCCGCGUGCGGGAUGACGGCCUUCGGGUUGUAAACCGCUUUCGCCUGUGACGAAGCGUGAGUGACGGUAAUGGGUAAAGAAGCACCGGCUAACUACGUG
rnacentral:rRNA from 1 species